rnacentral:rRNA from 1 species
UACGUAGGUGGCAAGCGUUGUCCGGAUUUACUGGGCGUAAAGAGCGCGCAGGCGGUCGGAUCAGUCGAAUGUGAAAGCCCCCGGCUCAACUGGGGAGGGUCAUUCGAUACUGUCCGACUCGAAGGCAGGAGAGGGAAGCGGAAUUCCCGGUGUAGUGGUGAAAUGCGUAGAUAUCGGGAGGAACACCAGUGGCGCAGGCGGCUUUCUGGCCUGUUCUUGACGCUGAGGCGCGAAAGCUAGGGGAGCGAACGGG